CUUAAUUUGAAACAAUGUUGUUUGUUUGGGGGACAUCCAGAAAUUUCAGUUUUAAAUAAUGAUAUAUUAGCUGCAGGUGUAACAGUACCUAUGCAUUUAUUGCUUCACAGUCUAGCAGUGUUUGUGAGAAAAACUGGUGGAUCCUGCAGAUUAACUAUGGACAGCCAAAUAUUGAGUAAAGUGAUGUCUACAACAGCAUCAGCUAUGCCUGAUAUGGUGUUAAUUCACAUUGUGAAGGUUGGUACGUACCCAAUUGUGACUAAACCAAAAGAAAAAAAUCUGGAAACUGAAGUACCAAUACAUGAAAAGCGUUCUUUUGGUAUUGGGAGUGCCAGUUGUCUUUGUUUCAUGAACUACUUCUCCGUAAUAGCACGCAGCCAUCUUCAAGAGGUGAGAAUUUCACUUAGCGGCUUGAACAGAAGUGUUAUCUCAAGAUAAUAUAAUAUCUGGAGGCAUGUGGCUGCUACUGUUUG
rnacentral:lncRNA from 1 species